rnacentral:rRNA from 1 species
UACGUAGGGGGCAAGCGUUGUCCGGAUUUAUUGGGCGUAAAGAGCGUGUAGGCGGCCAGAUAGGUCUGUUGUGAAAACUCGAGGCUCAACCUCGAGACGCCGAUGGAAACCAUCUGGCUAGAGUCCGGAAGAGGAGAGUGGAAUUCCUGGUGUAGCGGUGAAAUGCGCAGAUAUCAGGAAGAACACCCGUGGCUAAGGCGGCUCUCUAGUACGGUACUGACGCUGAGACGCGAAAGCGUGGGGAGCGAACGGG